GCACCACGGACAUUGCCAGAUAAGACCUUCUCUUUUUAGCCAUUGAUUUUAUCUGGACUUUUAGUAUUAUUCUUGUAUUUUUUUACUUUUUUGUAUCAUGUAAUGGCAUCUUAUAUAGUGUCAAAAUCAGAGUAUUCGUAGUGAUCAGCUAUUAUGUAACAGAUGUUAAUUAUUGACAUAGUCAAGUUAUAACGCUUAAAGUCAUAUUGCUGCUACGAUAAUGAAUGCAUGUUUACACAAUAAAACUCAUAUGAUUCCCUCACAGGAGAGAAUGUGUUAUAUAACCAGAGCCAUAAUGAAAAUACAUUGGUGUGAUCUGUUCAGAAAAUUUAUAUAAAAAAUAAACUUUUGUGACAUAUUUUUGGAAUAAAGUCAUUCCGUUGGCUGAAUUUUAUUUUUGUCUCUAAUUAUAAUAAUGGUUUAGCUAUGCUAAGAUUUGUCUCACAGUAUUUGACCAGUAGUAGGCCGAUUUUUGGAUGAGUUACUGAAUUUUUAGAAAAG